AUGUUUACCUCUCAUCGUUUUCUUCAGCUGUAAUUGGUUCGAAACAAAGACUCGAGUUUUUCACGCAUGUCUCGCGCACUGGAGCUUCCCAGACUGUUCCUGGUGGCUGGUGUGCCGCGCUGCUCCUGCCUUUCUGCUCCGUAUUCCCUGCCUCAAUAGGUUCGACUCCAGCUCGCCAGCUAGGAGAAGCCGAGCCCCGACGCGCUGCUCUUCUUAAAGCUUCUCGCCAUCCAUACUCGUGCUGACCACUCCCUGCCCCUGCCAUCACCCUCCUCGCCACGCUCCUCCCUCUGGUCUGGUCUCUCGCCAAACUGGUUGGACUGGGGCCGAGGGUUGUCCCUUGUAGGUUGGCGCAUCAUCCCAGCUCCUAGGAGGGGUCGGGCCACCCACUCAAGAACAUGUUAAAUUACAAGUCUCACUCCUCCACCUCUCGGAGUAUGUCACCCAUGAGUGCCAAUCCACACUCGACCCUGUAUCGAGGCGCCACCAGUAAACACUAGUAAUCACUGCUGCCUGCCGUCCACUCGUGCCUGGGGUGAGGAGCUCUUGUCGCGGCCGUGUCGGAUCAUGGCAGUGUUGAGGCCGUUGGGUGUUGGGACAUGUUUAUUUGUGGUGCGUGUGUGAGGAAGCGGUGUAUUUGUUGCCUUGCGUUUAUAUAUGUUUGUGUUUUUGUUUUCUUACGUCACAUCUCGUGUUUUACCCAAAAGCAAAAUUAAAUAAAAUUUUCUCCAUGCUCAAGCUUUAUCAUGAUACUCUAUCGCUAUUCUCAUUCAUUGAGUUGGAAGUAUCUAAGGCUAUUAAUUGCGUCUAUUGUUCAGUUUUCCUGUUUGUUUUUUGCAAAUAUUGUCUCGUAUAAAACUAACACAGAAUAGUUUCCCGCUUCCAUUCUCCUCCAGUUUAACUUUGGCAGCAUUGUCCGUCAUGUUGGGAAGCAGCUCCAUAAUUCUGUCACAUGUGCAGGUGUUGGUAGCAGGUCACGCACCGUUUACCCAUUAUGAGGCGUUCCGCAAGGCUUCCUCCGCGUUGCGUCUUAUUCCCAGCACGUCCCACGGCAGUUCGGAUGUCCUUGAUGUCUGGGAACUUUUUUUUCCUGCUUAGGUUUGUUUUCUCUUCUCAUGAAAGCGUUGAGACCUGGUGAGUUUUAAGAUUAGUUACUUGGAGUAUUUAUUUAACUUUAUUUAUUGACUACAGACUGUAAAAGUAAUGAGGAGUAGGAAAGAGAUUAUAUUGAGUGAAAUA